rnacentral:tRNA from 2 species
GGCACUAUGGCGGAGUGGUUAACGCGAGAGAUUCGAAUCUCGAUAUCUCUUCCUCUUCGAGGGCGCAGGUUCGAAUCCUGCUGGUGUCG